rnacentral:lncRNA from 1 species
GAUUUUAAUCAAAUGGGUUGUUCACCCUCUGAUUUAGAGCGAAUUGAAAUCGAGGACUGCGCUUCUCUCAAAUGCGUCGCACUGGACUUGCUCCCCAAGUUAAAAUCUCUUUAUAUCUGUGAAUGUCUAGAUCUGGAAUCACUAUGUGCACAUGAAAGACCCCUCAAUGAUCUCAACUCUCUCCAUUCUUUGAAAAUCGACACGUGCCCUAAAUUAGUUUCAUUUCCCAAAGGAGGGUUACCUGCUCCAGUCUUGACAGAACUUCAUUUAUUUCAAUGCAGCAACCUGAAGCAGUUGCCUGAAAGUAUGCAUUCCCUCCUCACCUCCCUUACACAUUUGAAAAUAAGUCAAUGCCAGAAGAAGGGUUGCCCUCCUCCCUUUCUUCUCUUAAAAUUCACUGUUGUUCUAUGCUGAAAUCUCUUCCAAGGCUUCAACACCUCACCUCCCUUACAGAUUGGAAAUAUGUGACUGCCCUCUGAUUGAGUCAAUGCCAGAAGAAGGGUUGCCCUCCUCCCUUUCUUCUCUUGUAAUUAACAGUUGUCCUAUGCUGAAAUCUCUUCCAAGGCUGCAACACCUCACCUCUCUUAGAGAAUUG